GUUACUCCAUAUAAAUAUCUUUUCAAGAUAUCCAAUCAAGAAAGCUAUUUCACAUUCUUUUCUUGGAGUCGAUGCCCAAUAUCACCUCAUUAUAGAUUUUGGAAUCAUCUCUAUGUUCUUUAUUUUUCAUGAGAAACACUUUCUUUGCAUCCUCUGUAAGCAUACCUGAGUACUUUUCAUGAGGAUGGGAGAUCCUAUUAGAUCAUCG
rnacentral:lncRNA from 1 species